rnacentral:rRNA from 1 species
CCUUCGGGGUGCCCAGGCGCGAAAACUUUGCAAUGCGGGAAACCGUGACAAGGGAACUCUGAGUGCCCGUUAAAUCGGGCUGUCCAUCGGUUUAAAUAACCGGUGAAGAAAGGGCCGGGCAAGACCGGUGCCAGCCGCCGGUAUUACCGCGGCGGCUCGAGUGGUGGCCACUAUUACUGGGCUUAAAGCGUUCGUAGCUGGUUUGUUAAGUCUCUGGGGAAAUCUUCCGGCUUAACCGGAAGGCGUCUCAGGGAUACUGGCAGACUAGGGACCGGGAGAGGUGAGAGGUACUCCAGGGGUAGGAGUGAAAUCCUGUAAUCCUUGGGGGACCACCUGUGGCGAAGGCGUCUCACCAGAACGGCUCCGACAGUGAGGGACGAAAGCUGGGGGAGCAAACCGGAUUAGAUACCCGGGUAGUCCCAGCUGUAAACGAUGCGCGUUAGGUGUAUCGGUGACCACGAGUCACCGAGGUGCCGAAGAGAAAUCGUGAAACGUGCCGCCUGGGAAGUACGGUCGCAAGGCUGAAACUUAAAGGAAUUGGCGGGGGAGCAC